GCCUGGCUGGCUCAGUUGGAGGAGCGUGUGGCUUUUGAUCUCCAGGUCGUGAGUUCAAGCCCCAUGUCGGGCA
rnacentral:tRNA from 1 species